UUUCACCAAGUCCUGAUAUUAUGAAACAGCACAGACAAUUUUCAUGUGAUCUCACCUUGCAGUUGCUGUAUCCAUUGGUGUUACUCCCUGGUGUAAGUCCAGAAGCAGCCAUGAAAUGUUUGGCCACAUGCUCUGGCAGCAUGUUGGUGACCAGCGCUUCAUUCCAGCGCCUUAUUUCAAGCACUUUCUCCUUCUGGUCGUGCACGCCAAUCUUCCAAAGAAACAGUUUCCUGGACUGAUGCUCCAGCUGCAGGCACAGAGUCAAAAAGAAGCAGAUACUCACACCUCUCCCCACCGCUCCCCGGCUCCACCUCAAACUCCCCGUGCAGGCUGUCCUUGGUGCUUUGGGAGAUAUGUACUCUCCUUGUACGGCACAGAG